rnacentral:rRNA from 1 species
ACGAACGCUGGCGGCGUGCUUCACCCCUGCAAGUCGCACGGAAAGGCCCUGCUUUUGUGGGGUGCUCGAGUGGCGAACGGGUGAGUAACACGUGAGUAACCUGCCCUUGACUUUGGGAUAACUUCAGGAAACUGGGGCUAAUACCGGAUAGGAGCUCCUGCUGCAUGGUGGGGGUUGGAAAGUUUCGGCGGUUGGGGAUGGACUCGCGGCUUAUCAGCUUGUUGGUGGGGUAGUGGCUUACCAAGGCUUUGACGGGUAGCCGGCCUGAGAGGGUGACCGGCCACAUUGGGACUGAGAUACGGCCCAGACUCCUACGGGAGGCAGCAGUGGGGAAUAUUGCACAAUGGGCGGAAGCCUGAUGCAGCAACGCCGCGUGCGGGAUGAAGGCCUUCGGGUUGUAAACCGCUUUCGCCUGUGACGAAGCGUGAGUGACGGUAAUGGGUAAAGAAGCACCGGCUAACUACGUG